GACUUUUGGUAUAGCAUUGGAAAUGUAAAUGAUCUAUAUACCUAAUAAAAAAUGGAAAAAAAAAAGACUGCAAGAAAAAAAAAGAUUAUGUCUCUAGAUCUUGCUGAGGGCAAGCAUUUAAGGCAUUUUCCUAAUUAGGGAUUCAUCAGAGAGGCUUCAGACCAUUGUGGAUGGGAAGAUAAUUCAUCAGAGCCAGAUGGUUCUGGGUUCUAUAGGAAGGCAGAAAAACAUGCUGAGCAAGCUCUGAGGAGCAAGCCACUGAGCAGCAUCUCUCCACCUUCUCUGCAUCAGAUCCUGCUUCCUGGCUCCUGACUUCCUUAAGUUAUUAACCUCACUACGUUUGAUGAAUUGUCACAGGGAAUUGUUUCCUCCCCAAGUAGCUUUUUGGUCAUAGUAUUUCAUCACACCAAUAGAAACCUUAACUAAGACAUGAGGAGUGGAAUAAUGAUUUUACAUAUGAAAAUCAGUUAAUAUUAACACAUCAGGUGAAAAGAGAAGGCAGAAUCCACAUUUGGUGACCAUCAAACCAGAUGUCACAAAGAUAUGUAUUUACAAAAAAUUAUUUUAAUUUUUAAGUUCUAAAAGACGAUGUUAAUCAAUUAUAACUGAGGAAAAUGAACACGGAAUGCCUAAGACACAACCACCAUCCUCAUAAUUAGGGAAAGACCAAAGCUUUCUCCCUAUGAUCAUGAACAUGAUGAACACACUUGCUUCCACUGCUCCUGUUGAACAGUACUAGAAAUUUCACAAAGAGUAAUUAGACAAGAGAGAAAGGGCAUUCAAAAUUAAAAGGAGGAAGUCAGAUUACUAUAAGAUGAUACUAUCGUACUAUAUAAUAUGAUGCUAUUAUAGGAAAGUUUAGAAUUUCCAUGAAAAUACUACUAUAACCGAUAAAUUCAACACAGUAGUACAAUGCAAUAUCAACACAAAAAAUAGAUUUUCUUUGUACAACUAUCAAUAUUGUUCAGAAAGAAAUGUGAAAACCAGUCAAUUCACUGGAGCUGUAAUGCUAAACAAACAAGCAACCAAAAAGACAAAAAAACCAAUGUAUUAAUUUAACUAAGGAAAUGAAAGAUUCCACAAAGAAAAUUAUAAAAACACUACAAUAAAAAAAAAAGGAAAGCAGAAAAAAAAUGCAAAGAGGGUGACAUGAAGAGGGAGAGAGCUUAUAUUCAUGAAUUGGAAGAAUAAUAUGAAAAUGCUCAUCAUUAAUUAAUAGAACACACAGAUCCAUUGUGUGUUCUAUUGAAACAACAAUAUUAUGAGUUGAGUGUUGGUGCACACUUUCAAUUUCAGAAUUGCAUGGUGGAAAGUUGUAUAAAAUGCCUGUUCUCUGUGAGAGGUUCCAGCCUACUCUGCUCUACAGAGAUUUCUAAGUCAGGUAUAGCUACAUAGUAAGAACAUUCUUCAACAACAAGAAAAACAGAACAUUGCAAUGCUCAAGAUACUCACAUUAAAUAGAAAGAUGGUAAAAUAAAUACAUUAUGGAACUUGUAAGCAAAGCCUCAGCUCUAUAGGAACUCUUUCCUGAUAAAUGGGCUAACAGCAUACAUUGAAGAAGGCAUGUUUCCUACAGUAAAGGUAACCAGGAAACAUGAAAUCUGCAUUUUACAAAAUGAAAUUUGACCAUCAUCUCUCACCGUGUACAAAAUCAAUUCAAAUAUAUUAGAUUUUGAUGUUACCUGUAUACUACGCUGGGCAAACAUAGAGAAGGGAAUACUUGGAAAUAUAGGUAUAGCCAAUGAUUUUCUAAAUUCUCUGACAUCGAUUGUCAAAUGAUAUGUCAAAAUCGGAAGCUUUGUAAGAACGGAAGCAUUCAGCCAGUCAAGGGAGACCAUAACUGAGAGAAAGUAUUUAUCAGCUGUUUUUUGACAGUAACCAAAACAUAUAAAGAACUGAUGAGAAAAAUAUAACAAAAUCUGUUCCAACUAAAAGUGAGCAGACUAUUUGAAUAGACACUUCAGAAAAGAAAACCUCAGUAAAUAGAUUAGAACAUGCUAUCUUUAACCAUCAGUGAAAUGUAAAUGCAAGCUAAAAUGGAGACAUUAUUUCAUGCCAUUUAGAGUGGCUUAUUUAAAUAAGAGAGAAUGAGGAACACUCAG
rnacentral:lncRNA from 1 species